rnacentral:rRNA from 1 species
UACCAGCACCCCGAGUGGUCGGGACGAUUAUUGGGCCUAAAGCAUCCGUAGCCGGUCUUGCAAGUCUUCCGUUAAAUCCAGCUGCUUAACAGAUGGGCCGCGGAGGAUACUAUAAGACUAGGAGGCAGGAGAGGCAAGCGGUACUCAGUGGGUAGGGGUAAAAUCCGUUGAUCCAUUGAAGACCACCAGUGGCGAAGGCGGCUUGCCAGAAUGCGCUCGACGGUGAGGGAUGAAAGCUGGGGGAGCAAACCGG